rnacentral:rRNA from 1 species
CAAAGGUGAGCCAGUACAGGAUGGACCCGCGUCUGAUUAGCUAGUUGGUAAGGUAACGGCUUACCAAGGCGACGAUCAGUAGCCGACCUGAGAGGGUGAUCGGCCACAUUGGAACUGAGACACGGUCCAAACUCCUACGGGAGGCAGCAGUGGGGAAUAUUGCACAAUGGGCGAAAGCCUGAUGCAGCAACGCCGCGUGAGUGAUGAAGGCCUUCGGGUCGUAAAACUCUGUCCUCAAGGAAGAUAAUGACGGUACUUGAGGAGGAAGCCCCGGCUAACUACGUGCCAGCAGCCGCGGUAAUACGUAGGGGGCUAGCGUUAUCCGGAUUUACUGGGCGUAAAGGGUGCGUAGGCGGUCUUUCAAGUCAGGAGUGAAAGGCUACGGCUCAACCGUAGUAAGCUCUUGAAACUGGGAGACUUGAGUGCAGGAGAGGAGAGUGGAAUUCCUAGUGUAGCGGUGAAAUGCGUAGAUAUUAGGAGGAACACUAGUUGCGAAGGCGGCUCUCUGGACUGUAACUGACGCUGAGGCACGAAAGCGUGGGGAGCAAACAGGAUUAGAUACCCUGGUAGUCCACGCUGUAAACGAUGAGUACUAGGUGUCGGGGGUUACCCCCUUCG